GUAUACCCAUUACCUGACUGUACAAGUCAAACACCAUGUGUAUUGUGUUGAAAGCUUUUGUUUUGUUUUCUUCAUGUGUGCAUAUUUAUAUCCCAGGGAAACAAGACACGAUAUAAAAUUGUCCUUAGGGGUGUCGAUAUGUCUGGGUCAUACAUUUUUGAGAGAAAAUACUGUUAUUCAAAAAAGUAUUUCCAAUGGGAAUGAUUAUGAAGGGCAAUGUAUAAAGUACAUUUCAUGUUGCUGUCUCUGUUUUCAUAUAGCAAAACCUCCUCGUUCAGGUGAUAACCAUGGUUUGUACAAUUGCCAGCUUAUUAGAUACACCUAACAUACGGUAUAGCAUUCAUGUCACGUGGUUGGGAGUGUGUGUGUGUUGGGGUGUAUACAGUAUAUCAAGGAUGAGAAUCUGACACUAAUCUGAAAAUCUGACUAAUCUGAUGAAGGGUUUCUAUAGAUGUGGUAGAGGAGAGCUGACAAACAUUGCAUAGCCACUAAGUGACCUAUAAGUGAUGGACGAUAGCGAUUCCAGAAGAAAUUCUGACACCUCUUCACCCUGAACGCUUUCCUGAAUGGACCUG
ensembl:lncRNA